CUUAUAUAUAAAAAGAUAUACAUACAUUUGUGGGUGGACUUGUAGGUCUAAAAUAUCACUAUGUUAUUGAAAAUUCAUCUUAUUUACCUAUCAGUUCGAAUCUUCUGCACUUUUAUUUUGAGGAAUCAUAGGGUGGCUUGGGUUGGAAGGGACUUGAAGGAUCAUCAAGCUCCAAUCCCCCACCACAGGGAGAGCCACCAACCUCCACAUUUAAUAGGAAUCAUUUCUUAGCCAUGUAAUCUGGUGUGGAAGACUUUGGAAUGCUGGCAAGAUGUUGGUGCUGGUCUGGGAAUAGCUGUGCUAUCUUUGUGACAAAGAGGAUACACUUUCUCAGCAGGGAAUACCCAGGGAAAAAAAAGAUCGUAGAGUUUUAAAGAUGUUUCAACUUUUAGUAAUUAAGCUCUGGUGAACGUUGCAAGAAUAUUUAAUGUUGUGCUGAUCUAUCUGAGGAGGAUCUGGAGACUUACAAGGAAUUACAAGAACAUGACUUACAAAACAGAAAGCUCACAUUGUCAAAGCAUCCUCUGAAAUGCUUUCAGAUUGAGAAGGUUUUUUUUUCUGGCAUUUCAUUAGGAAUAGGCAGCAGGGAGAGUCUCCUGACAUUAAGGCAUUUUUGUUUUGUUUUGUUUUGUUCUUCACUCCCAUAGUUAAGAGUAACUUGUUGGCUUUUUUCCACCUCAUGCUCACUCUCGCAGAUGAGCAUUAGAGAGAAUUUGGAAAUGGAAGGCCUUUCUGUCUGCUGCUAGCAGGGUCAAUUCAGUGUGGCAGCUGCGAGCUGGUGACAUAGACUUAUAUUGACACAACCCACUUUUUGCUGCAGAAUCACAAAGCGAAAGCACCCGGGGCUCUUCUGCCUUUUUCAAUAAGAUACGAAUUUUUGUCUUCCUUGUAUUAAGCAGAGAUCUGUCAUCUUGACUUGUACACUAAAUGGUCCAUUCUGACUGCCUUGUUUGUGUCCAAUCCCAGCCAGAAUCUAGAAACAUGUGUUAACAUUCGGCAUGUUUGGGGGCGAGCUGGAAGGGCCUGAGGCUAGACUCCCUGAUGUCUGCUGGAGGGUAGUCAAUAAUCAUUAGCCCUUCAAGUGGUAGAUGCCCAACAUAAACUGUAUUUAUUUAUUUAAAAAAUCUUUACUUUAAGCCACGGGGAAAGGCAUUUUAGAGAACGCGGCUCCCCUGAAGAAACGAAGCAGUAAUAAAGACAUAGUGCCAUGUUACUGAGAUCCUGGCUUAUGGAGGGGGGCACGCUUUUUAGCACUGUGUCAUCAGCCAGAGCAAUGGGAAACUAUUAAAAAUAAUUAGCCUGCGCAUGUCUGUCACUUAAGUUAGUCCCUGUGGUAAUAAAGAAGUGUGAUUUGCCCCAAGAC
rnacentral:lncRNA from 1 species